rnacentral:rRNA from 1 species
GGGAAUAUUGCACAAUGGGCGGAAGCCUGAUGCAGCGACGCCGCGUGAGGGAUGACGGCCUUCGGGCGGUAAACCUCUUUCAGCUCCGACGAAGCGCAAGUGACGGUAGGAGCAGAAGAAGCGCCGGCCAACUACGUGCCAGCAGGCGCGGUAAGACGUAGGGCGCGAGCGUUGUCCGGAUUUAUUGGGCGUAAAGAGCUCGUAGGCGGCUUGUCGCGUCGACUGUGAAAACCCGCAGCUCAACUGCGGGCCUGCAGCCGAUACGGGCAGGCUAGAGUUCGGUAGGGGAGACUGGAAUUCCUGGUGUAGCGGUGAAAUGCGCAGAUAUCAGGAGGAACACCGGUGGCGAAGGCGGGUCUCUGGGCCGAUACUGACGCUGAGGAGCGAAAGCGUGGGGAGCGAACAGGAUUAGAUACCCUGGUAGUCCACGCUGUAAACGUUGGGCGCUAGGUGUGGGGGACCUCUCCGGUUCUCUGUGCCGCAGCUAACGCAUUAAGCGCCCCGCCUGGGGAGUACGGCCGCAAGGCUAAAACUCAAAGGAAUUGACGGAAGCC